AGAGUUGAUCAUGGCUCAGGAUGAACGCUAGCGACAGGCUAACACAUGCAAGUCGAGGGGCAGCAUAAAAGUAGCAAUACUUGGUGGCGACCGGCGCACGGGUGAGUAACGCGUAUGCAACCUACCUAUCAGAGGGGAAUAACCCGGCGAAAGUCGGACUAAUACCGCAUAAAACAGGGGCACCGCAUGGUGAUAUUUGUUAAAGAAAUUCGCUGAUAGAUGGGCAUGCGUUCCAUUAGGUAGUUGGUGAGGUAACGGCUCACCAAGCCGACGAUGGAUAGGGGAACUGAGAGGUUGGUCCCCCACACUGGUACUGAGACACGGACCAGACUCCUACGGGAGGCAGCAGUGAGGAAUAUUGGUCAAUGGGCGGGAGCCUGAACCAGCCAAGUCGCGUGAAGGAAGAAGGAUCUAUGGUUCGUAAACUUCUUUUGCAGGGGAAUAAAGUGCAGGACGUGUCCUGUUUUGUAUGUACCCUGAGAAUAAGGAUCGGCUAACUCCGUGCCAGCCGCCGC
rnacentral:rRNA from 1 species